GGCGCCGUGGCAGAGCGGUCUAAUGCGAUAGACUAGAAAUUCCACUGGGAUUCUACGGUAUCUAUUCUCUUCGGAGGCCCAUGUUCGAAUCAUGGCGGCGUCG